AUGGCGGCAGAGGAAGAAAAUACGACGUCGUUUAAGAGUUUGGGGCUGUGCGAUCAAUUGGUGGAGGCCGUUGCUGAACUGCAAUGGAAAUCUCCUACCCCUAUUCAAGCCGAGGUGAUUCCUCCUGCCCUAUUAGGGAAAGAUUUGAUCGCACUUUCCCAAACGGGUUCGGGUAAAACUGGUGCCCUUCCCAUAUUGCAAUCUCUAAUCAUUUCUCCCGCACCCUUUCUUUGCUCUGGUUCUGUCCCCGACAAGGGAGCUUGCACUUCAGAUUGUUCAGCAGUUCGAAGCUCUCAGGUCUGCGAUUGGCCGCAAGACUGUAGCGGGAUGUUAUCUCGUUUAUCUUCGUACUCAGAAGUGCCAAUGCACAGCUAUCGUGUUCACUGAAAAAUGCUCAAAAACACCCUUUUUGGCAUGUAUGCUUCAAACUCUUGGCAUCAAGGCCAUCGCGCCCUCCAUGGUCAAAUGAGCCAGGAUUAUAUACACCGAGUAGGAAGAACUGCUCGCGCUGGACGAUCCGGUUUAGCAAUCUCUCUAGUGAAUCAAUAUGAAUGUGGGAAUUUGCAGAAGAUAGAAUCACUCAUUGGGAAAAAGUUACCAGAACAUCGAGCCACAGUUGAAGAAGUCAUGCAACUUAGUGAAAGUGUCAAAGAAGCCACAAGAUUGGCGACCAAGAAAAUAAAAGAGAGUUGAAAGAAGAAGAGGAAGUGGGGAGGGGAGACGAUGAUGAUGAUGCGGAGGAAGAUGUUCUCAAGUAUUCAACUCACAUGGAUAGAAAGUCCUAGAAGCGCAAACGAAGGU